UGUUUCCAGUAGAAAAGCAGGGGAGUGCUUCACUUCAGACCUGGUGUGGAGGAGGGAGAAGGAGGUUUGAAUCCUUCCCAGCAAAGGAGGUCCUGUGAGCCUCGGAAAACCUCUCAGCAUUAGGUUAUUGUCUAAGGGGGUAGUCAUUGAUCUGCAGUAACCGCCGCGGCAGUUGCAUUCCUCCCUUUUGCGUUCCUGCUUUGUGUCAAAGCUGAGGGCUCGACAUCCCCUGCUGACAUGGGGAGUUUGGGUCAUGAGGCAAAAGUGAAACCUCUUUCCUGUUAGAAGCCAGAGCUUUUGCGCCUGGCUCCCCUUCAGCUGCCCAAGCAUCCCAGAGGAAGUGGGGUGGCUCCGAAGCAUCUCAGAUGGAUAGGGGCUGCUCCAAGCCCUGUUCUGUGAAAGACUGGAUCACAGGGAAGGAGAGGUGGCAAGGAUGUGCAGGCAAGGCACAAAUACGUGGUAAAGGGAUGGAAGAAGUUCACUAAAAGUGGUGACUUUUUGCCCUGCUGAGCCCCAGCCAGAGAAUUAACAAAACCUGAAACUGCUGGGAACUUGAACAUUUGCUGAAUUCAGGGAAGACUUUACUGCAACUGCAUUUGCUGGAAACCAGAUUAUUAUGAAGUGGUGAAGAUUGCAUUGACACAUCUAUCUUCUGCAACAGCAGCUGGAAUGUACAUAAUGGUGCAAGAAAAUACAGAACUGGAAGUAAUUGACUGAAGUUGUAUUUUUGAGGAGAAGGAUAAAGCUCAUGGCAACACCAGUGAAAGCGGCCACAGCAUUGGCCUGAGAAGUUUCGUGAUGGUUCUUCAAGUCAGGAGGAACUUGGAUGCUGCAGAAAUGCUUUUCCCAAGGUGUAAGAGAAGGCAAACCUGCCUUGGCUUGCUGGAGACACAGCUUGCAGUGUUGCCUAUGGAUUUGUUACUACUCUCUGGUUUAGUCAGCUUGUGCUGUUAGUACCCAGAGGUAUUGAUUAAGAUAAGAGUUUUGUUGCACAAGAUGCUGAUUUGAA